rnacentral:misc_RNA from 1 species
AAAGUCGUAACAAGGUUUCCGUAGGUGAACCUGCGGAAGGAUCAUUAUCACGUAUCCACGUAUAAACCAUUGUGAACCGUACCCAAUUUUAACCUCCGCAAAUCCAUUCCUUUUUUCUUCUAUUUUUCUUUUCGAAAGAAAACAAAAAGACAAAGAUUAAAAAGGCUGGCGUAUACCGGAGUGUAUUUACCAUAUUAACCAUUUUAACCAACCAUUAUAACUUUAUGAACUAACUUUAUUUUAUACUCUUCGGAGAUAAAAUUCAUUACGAAACAAAGAACAACUCUUAGCAACGGAUAUCUUGGUUCUC